AUUUUUCAGGUUGAACACAAUGGACGAGGUACACAGGGUUCACGGUCAGGAGGCAGACAAGCUCUAGCAUGACAUGGAAGACUCAAAAGACUCGAUUGUCACUUGCGAGGCCUCCGUGCCUAGGUUUGAAGAACGCUUUAAGUUCUUCCAAGAAAUGACGGGGUAUGUUCGCGACUUGGUUGAAUGUUUGAAUGAAAAGGUUUCCAUGGUAACAUAAAGCAUACUAGUAAGUCUUGCUGCCAAGAACUGGUGGAGAUUUCCCAUGAUGCCUUCAGGAAGGAAGUCUAUGGAGAUGGAUACACACUAGAAUCAGAGACAGCAGAUGCAAGUAACGAGGGCAGCCAUUCUCCAGAAACUAUUGGCAUCAGUGCAAGGGACUUGGACCCACAGAACUCUGAGGACUGCUCUGUCAAUGAGAGAUCUUCAUUCCAGGAGCCCAUUAUUAUGGAUACAGACGGUUUUUAUGUCUGCUUAGACUGCAACUUCAAAUCAAUGGAGAUGGAUGACUGGAUUCAGCACAGAAGCAAACAUCAAGAAGGUGCAGAUACUGUGGUCACAUCAAGUAGGGAAAGUACUACAGUUGGGUCAAGUGUCAUCGGGAGUGAGG